UACGUAGGGGGCAAGCGUUGUCCGGAUUUAUUGGGCGUAAAGAGCGUGUAGGCGGCCUUACAGGUCAGCUGUGAAAACUCGAGGCUCAACCUCGAGACGUCGGUUGAAACCGUAUGGCUAGAGUCCGGAAGAGGAGAGUGGAAUUCCCGGUGUAGCGGUGAAAUGCGCAGAUAUCGGGAAGAACACCCGUGGCGAAGGCGGCUCUCUGGGCCGUAACUGACGCUGAGGAGCGAAAGCGUGGGGAGCGAACAGG
rnacentral:rRNA from 1 species